GACGAACGCUGGCGGCGUGCUUAACACAUGCAAGUCGAACGCUGAAGCUCAGCUUUUGUUGGGUGGAUGAGUGGCGAACGGGUGAGUAACACGUGAGUAACCUGCCCCCUUCUUUGGGAUAACGCCCGGAAACGGGUGCUAAUACUGGAUAUUCACUGGUCUUCGCAUGGGGGUUGGUGGAAAGGGUUUUUCUGGUGGGGGAUGGGCUCGCGGCCUAUCAGCUUGUUGGUGGGGUGAUGGCCUACCAAGGCUUUGACGGGUAGCCGGCCUGAGAGGGUGACCGGUCACAUUGGGACUGAGAUACGGCCCAGACUCCUACGGGAGGCAGCAGUGGGGAAUAUUGCACAAUGGGCGCAAGCCUGAUGCAGCGACGCCGCGUGAGGGAUGGGGGCCUUCGGGUUGUGAACCUCUUUCGCUCAUGGUCAAGCCGCAACAAUGGUUGUGGUGAGGGUAGUGGGUAAAGAAGCGCCGGCUAACUACGUG
rnacentral:rRNA from 1 species